CUUCGGCUGCCACAGCGCGUAGAGAAAGACCAUAGACUCUCCAGUGAGGAUGUGUGUUCAGAGGUAGCCUCUCCCGCCUCGCGCUUUGGGCACCCGCAGUUUUUCAGCUGCCUCCUGGAGUUUACAGCAGCAAGCUGCUUUUUUCAAAGGCUGGCAGAGUUAUACAAUCUGCUGAGCGUCAGGAACACAAGCUGCUGAGCAUCGGGGAUACAAGUGGCUGAGCGUCAAGCACAGAAGCAGCAACUGAACAUCAGAGACUAAGGAUAGACAUGGCUAACUUCAGAUGGUGUGGCUUCAGGGAAACAUCACCUUCUUCCUGCACUACCUCCUUUCCAAUUCCCCAUCCCACUGAGAGCCACGCUUAUUGCCCAAUAAAAUCCUCCGUGUAUACUACCCUUC
rnacentral:lncRNA from 1 species